rnacentral:lncRNA from 1 species
AAAAACGGAAAAUGGAUGAAAACACGGGAAAGAUGCCCAAAUUAAGAACAACUAUCUCUUUCUCUUUACUCUCGGUUUGCUCAGAUUGAAGAAUCAGAAAAGCUCCAUCUGAAUCUCAUAUCCUCUUCCUCGAGUUCCAACUUAAUACAAUCUUCAAAUCUAGUUAUGUCUUUCUUGCUUUCCAGGUGGUAUUCCGAGCAUGUUUUCUUGUUUUACCCCUCCUUUUUCCUUCAAUUUACAGGUCUGUUACCCUUCCCCAAUUCGUUGUUUGAUCGGUGCUAAUCAGUAAGCAAUCUCCCUGUUCUUUUUGUAAUCUUUUUUUUUUAUUAUUAUUAUUUCUUCUUUUUCGGUUAGAUGCAUAAAAUGGGAAAUUGAAUUUCUUUUUUGUUGUUUCUCCAUUUUUUAUUUGUUAUAGACAACAGAAAAAAGUUGGAAUUGAUUCUCUUCAUGGGUAUGUGAUGUCUUAUGUUAAUCUGACUUCCAUUAUAUGAUUGCAUCUAUUUAUUUGUGAUAUAAGAAACGUGGGUUCUCUUUGUUUAUAUCCAAAAGCUUGAAAAUUGGUAAAGAAAAAGAUACAUGCAAUCUUUUGCUAUGAUGUGAGCUGUGUUUGAUCAGGGGCUCUUCGAUAGGUCAUAGACUUAUGGAGCUGCUUUUAUAGUCACUUGUGUGUAUGUGCCUAACUGAUUUUCAUGAUUUUGGAUUUUUGGAGGAGUAUGGGCUGAUUUAUUAUUAGGUCUUUGAUUUAGUGUAUAAGUCAUACGCUUCAUUCAGUGUAUAAGUCAUAUGCUUCAUUUGAUUCAGUGUAUAAUCACUUAUUGCUGCAGAAGGUAUUGAUUAGAACCUGGAUAUUCAUAUCUCCUUAAAGAGGUAGUGAGCAAAAAGAUAACCAGGAUAGGCAGGGCAUUUUUAUUUUGUUUAAUCAAGGGAACACCCAAUGAGGAGUUUCAAUCAGUAAGAGGAAGUCCAACUCGAGAAUGAAUUAUCCAAUCAUACUUCUGUGGUGAUUAACUGAUUAUAACAAGUUCUGGCAACUUAAAGACAAAAAUAGUGCGCUCUUCAUAAACUAACCAGCCAAAAUUCCUUUUCCCUACUAUAUAAAAAGGGGAAUGUGAGGGCACUGUAGAAAGUAAUAGUGUCUUGAUCCAUCUUUACUAUAACAUUUUUGUUUUAUUUUUUUUUUCAAUUUGGGGGCCAAAACGACGUCGUUUGCUUGAUAUAUAUUUUAUUUUAUUGUACACUACCUCCAAAUUUACCGCAACACGCAAUUUUCAUUCCUCCCCACUCCGAUAUAGAUAUGUAUAGUAGAGAUAUAAGAAAAAUAUCACUUUUAUAUUAUAUUAAAAAAAAAAAGAGAUAAUAUGCGACAGAAAUUUUUUUUACAACAUAUUACUUGUAAAUAAAAAAUUUGAAUAGAAAAAAAUUAAAGAAAAUUUUAAAUUGAAAAAAAAAUUAUAACUAAAACUACACAUCAAAAAAAAAAAGAAUCUCUCCGUGCACGGAGGGGAAAAGAAAAAAGGUAAUUUGUUGGAGCCUCCGUGCACGGAGACACUCAAUGCAUGGAGACAAAGUUUAUAUAUAUAUAUAUAUAUAUUUAUUUAUUUAUUUAUUUAUUAUAAGUAAUUGUUCUUUUUGUCAAUUUAUUUAAAUUUCUUUUUUAUUCUUUUCUCUUUUAAAUAAAACUUAAUUUUUCAAUUUUAACAAAAUAAUAUUUAUAUAUAUAUUUUUAAAUUUUUGUAAUUUUUUUAUUUUGUUUAUUUUAUUUUUUUUUAAAUUAUAUUUAGAAUUGAGCGUGGAAAUAACAUAAUAGAAAUGCAUGAAAAUAAUUAGAAGAAAGUAAAGAGGUUUAUAGACGUGUCAAACUUCCACCAACAUGAUCUUUUUUGUAGACGAUGAAAGUUGGGGGUUCACUGUUCAAAAGUUUGAAAACACAUGUAUCGCUUAUUUGUAGUACUUUUUCUCUAAAAAAAUCUGCCCAACCUAUAGUCAUACGUCUUAUUAGACCAUUUGGUCGCAAAUUUGUGACAGUCUCCCAGUCGUGAUGUAAAGAAUCAUGGAUUUGAACACUUCGCACACCUCUUGGUAGGUGAUAUCUAGAGAACUGUCCUAGUAUAUCCUGGAAAAUCAUGAAUGAAUAAAUUAUUGAUUUUUGAAUCAAAUUUAUGUGGAAGAGAUGAAUGUAGAAUGAGAUAUUAAAGAUGACACUUACAAUUUUUCGAUAGCUGUUGUAAUGAGGCGUUAGUGUUAUUUCAAACACAGGGUUAUCUGUAUGUGAAGCGUUGUAUUCUUCGGAAACAUCGGAGUCAUAUGUGACCUCUAAUCCAGAAUGGUCAAAUAUGGUCAUAUUGAAUGUGGAGUUUCUAUUAUAUUCAAAUACCAAAACAUGAGCAUCCUGUAAGUUAUGAUGGUCAAAAAAUUGUUCUCAUCCAUCAGCAAAAUAUAUUCUUCCAUUAUCUUUUUCCAAUCGUAUUGUGACAAUUAUACCAUCAUAUGCAGUUACUCGUACUGUGUCACGAAAUUGGUGUCUCCAAUUGUUGACAAAGGAUCUCGGAAGCAUCUAUACAUAUACAUUAAAAAGUAUAAGAGAGAUAUUAAGAAUGCAUCCAUUCAAAUGUGAGAGGAGAAACUCGUAUGUGACUAACCAGACGAGUAUUAUGGUUUUGUGGAGGAGUAAUGAUUCUGAAGAAACGAUGUGGCACCUCUAUUCUGUCUCAAUAUAGUACAAUGAAAAUUUUGUUAGAAUAACUCUAUUAUUUACGUUGUGGAGGUCUAAUAUAGAUUUUAAGGUAGAUUUUGCAGUAUAGGCGAGUUAGAAAGUUUGUUAAUAAAAGUUUCAUGUCUGUAAGAUAAACUUUGUAUGUGAUGUAAAAAAUAUAUAUUCUAUAUGUCAUUGUAGAACAAUAUCGUGAAGUUUGGUGAGAAAUUCAUGAUUUGUGUUCGAUUUUUAAUAGAAGAAUUGAAGAUUGACAUUUAGUCCAUCUCAAUAAACAAGAUGUAAGUUAAAACUGUAAAAUUUAGUGUUGAAAAAAUAGCUAUUGUAAUCAGGAAAGAGUAGAUAGACACCUAAUUUUCUUUUUGUUGAGCAUCUAUAAGCAAAGAUAUGUAAAUAUUUUAUGUGAGGAGUGAUUUAAGGUAAAUUUUGAAAACAUGAGAAGCUAUUUAAAUUAGAGGAUAUGUACUUCCUAUGUUUUUUCCUUUUCUCCAGAUUUGACAAGAGGUUCACGGGUGAUAGAAAUGGACAAUAUGUUACCGAAAAAAGCCUGAUCUUACUCUUCCCAAAAAUAAAAGUGAGGAGAAAGAAAUUAUUGAAGUAUCACACGUUUCACACAUUAUUUGAUUGCAAUCAAAAUGUUACGAUUGAAGCAACAAAAUAAUAUUUAUAUAUGUAUUUUUAAAUUUUUAUAAUUUUUUUAUUUUGUUUAUUUUAUAUAUUUUUUAAAUUUAUUUAAAAAAAUUAUUUUUUUUUCAAGUGGGGAGCAAAAACUACGCCGUGCAUAGAGUACAUUGUUUUUUUUUUUUGUAGUUUUUUUUUUGGGCCUCCGUGCAUGGAC